AAACAUAAUGAAGAACUCAUAGCCGAGAGUCGUCCCUAAAUAGAAAUAUGGGAUCUAAGUGUGCUCUUCUUAUAUGGGUUUUACUCUUUCUUGCCAUCACCCUCCCUGCCAAAGGAAGAGCAAGAGAGCUGGGUCAAACUUUUAAAGCUGGAAAUCCAACGACGAAGAGUGUCUCCGCCGCAUCAGCUGAUAAUUAUCCAUGGUAUCAUUCUCAAGCCCCUUAUGCAGAUCCUAACUAUGCACCCGAACGUCAAGAUGGCGCAUAAUUAUUAGCAAUCUUUUUAUGUCUACUUUUCCCCUGAAGAUGGGAUUCAUAUGCAACGGAAGAGUAGUAUAUAUAUAUAUAUAUAUGUAGAAAGAUAUUGAACAAAACCUCUUAUUAUAUAUAUAUUGUCAUCAAUUUGCAUGUAGACACCCCACCAAAAUAAUAAAUCUAAUAUAUGAGAGAAAGAAAAAAACUGAUUAUUGUGUUCU